UUGGCCUUUAUUAGGCAUGACGGUGAAGAAAGACAAGAAAUAGAGAGAGAGCAGAGGAAAGAUAUGCAGCAAGGGUCUGGCUGGAUCAGGAGUCAAACUGGGGUCUCACCAUUCAGGAAAAGUCAGAGGAUCACCAAAGUCAUCAGGAUACAUACUCUUGGGACCAUGAAUGACAAAAUUUUGGCUGAAGCCAUCCAGCAAUUGUUGAGAUAUCUCAGUCUGGACGUGGUGGACUGAACAACCAGCAGAAAAACUGAAAGACAUCGCCAUCCCUAGAGCCAUCCCGCUAACCACAAGUAAUAAACAAGGAAAAGUCACAUUGUUCCUGGAAAAAAAGAGGAACCAUUAUCACUGCGAAUCUAAAGACAAGUUGCUAAAACAAGUGGUUGCCUCAGGGUGGGCGGUGAGCACAAAAUCUAACAUCUCUACUUUGUCAUACUGAAAAUAAUAUCAGAAUUUGCUUUUUUACUUAGUUGAUGUGUUGUGUGAUCCAAUCAUCUGCAGUAAUAUGUCAUUUUAUCCCACACACACAAAAAAAAAAACAGAUAUGUAUAAUGAGUCAUGCUGCCAUUUGUCCUACAUGGUAUUAUUUCACUGUACUUCUGAAUCACAAAGAAAAAUUACAAUGAAAGAUUAUAAUGUAUGAUGAAUAGAGGAAUCUGACAUACAGUUGAUGCUUGCAUCAAAAUAGUAGACCACCAGACAAACAAAUAAAUGUUUAAGACACUCACACAGAGAUUAAACUGAGCAUAUUCCUUAUUUUAAUGGCUACGAAUGUUUCAAACUGCUGUGUGGUUCAGCCUCCUGAGGUCACUGAGGCAGGUGGUGGACAGUAUGUAGCAAUGAGAAAACAAAGCAAAGUAGCAAGGUCUCUGCUUAUUUUGUUCACACUGUCUGCUAUUAAAAGAAGAGGGUCACAAACUUUGUUACUUAUGUCACCAUGAAAUGAUGCAAUUUUGAGUCCAACCCUAACUCAGUACGAAUCUGCAGCAACAGCAGUCCACUGUGUCAGAGAAGUCACUGAUGAUUACUUGUCUCACUGGUAGUGAUGGAAGUCUAACAAACUAAGAACAGAGAACAUUUAUUUUGUAUCUUUCCAGCAGCUAUUUUGAAAUUUGCCACUCAGUUGUAUAUUAGUUAAGUGCUUCCCCAUGUCUUACUGUGGCUUCACAUGUGACUUUGCUCUAUAUGUCAUGUCAAAAAGGCUGCAAGAAACAAACCAUUGUCAACCACAAGUCAACUUUUCAUAAGUCAUUUUUGCAUGUUUCCAUUUAAUCUUAAAGUAUGUUGUUGUUGUUCUCAGUUGUAGUGCUCAGAAUAAUACAACAACAUGGUUUUCUAUGUAGAGAUAAAAGUAUAGGAAGUGUUGAUAAUGUACUUAAGCCAACUUAAAUGGAUUAGGAUUCAUAAUGCUGAACAUAUCUAUUUAUUUAUUUGCCUUCAAAGCAACAUCUGUCAUUUUACUUGCAACAGAUGUUGGUAUUAUGUAACAUUUUAGUGAAAGAGUAUUGUGUCUUUGGACGUCAUAUUUUAUAUAAGUCUAAUACAGGGAAAUUACAAAUGCAUGAGGUCUUAAUGAAAUAAAGUUUUAAAAAAUCUAAUAUGAAAGAGAAAAUUUCUGUACAUGUAAUGCUCUAUCUGGACCUCUUAGUGGGAUUAUUAGCAUACUUUGGUAUAUUCAGUCAUUUUACUGCUUUUCCUCAGACUCCCUGAGGUCACAUAGUACUUACAUUUUAUACUAUACAGCAAUGUGUUGUGUGUACUAAAGGUUUUCCCUUUUACUUACAA